UACGUAGGGUGCAAGCGUUGUCCGGAAUUAUUGGGCGUAAAGAGCUCGUAGGCGGUUUGUCGCGUCUGCUGUGAAAACCGGAGGCUCAACCUCCGGCCUGCAGUGGGUACGGGCAGACUAGAGUGCGGUAGGGGAGAUUGGAAUUCCUGGUGUAGCGGUGGAAUGCGCAGAUAUCAGGAGGAACACCGGUGGCGAAGGCGGGUCUCUGGGCAGUAACUGACGCUGAGGAGCGAAAGCGUGGGGAGCGAACAGG
rnacentral:rRNA from 1 species